AUGUGUUACGCGUACACGCCGAUUUCCGGACGCCUUCCGCUUUCAGCUGACGAGCGAUUGCGGCGUUUUGCCAGCC
rnacentral:sRNA from 4 species